GGUUUCCGUGGCCGUGGUCCAAGAAGAUUCUAUCGUGGCCGCUUCUUUGGAAAGUGGUCGUGGCCGCGGUGGAAGAGGUGGCUAUGAUCAAGCAGGUAUAUGAACUAUGGAGAGGAAGUCAUUGACGGUGAUGGAAUGUCAAUGAGGGGAAGAGGAAGAGGCCGUGGCCGCGGAAGGGGCCGUGGAGGCAGAGGUCCUCGUGGAUAUUUCCGCAGAUAUUAUGCUGGUUCACGUCCCCAACCUGAAGGCAUGAUGGGAGGACCUUCAGAAGGCGUUCACGCCGCAGGUUCCGCCGUGGUGGACGUUGGCCGUGGACGUGGCAGAAUAGGUAGUGGACCAGAAACAAAACUUGGUACUGAGGAUGUGGAGACUAAAGUGAAAAUUGAGAUUAAAGAGGAGCAGUUUGAAGCUCAUGAAGAGCAGCAUGAAGAUCAUGAAGAGCAGCAAUGAAGCUCGUGAAGAGCAGCAUGAAGCUCAUGAAGCGCCUCGAGCUCGUGAUGAGCAGCAUGACGCUCAGACAAAGUGUUUGGGUGAUGGACAAGGCCAGGAGGGACAGUCUGCUGGCUCUGGUCAGGCCCAGCAGGCAGUGGAGAACACAACUGCUGAAAGUUCAGCAUAAGCUAUCCUCAUCCUCCCCUGCAAUCAAGCCACCAAAGCUAACGAGGCCACUAUUUAGGUUAUCCAGAUAAAGUAACCUGAACAGUGUUCUUAAUUUAAGGGUGGAUAGGGCUGCUGCUGCUGCUGUCAUACCCCCUCCCAGCCCAUCGGAAGCCCAGCAGGAGCUCUGUCCACCACCCGGAACUUCCAGUGACAAACAAACCACCGACAAAUGAAAGGGACAGUAAUGCAAGAGCAUAAGCUUACAAAAACCAGCUGUUGCUCCCGGUUACCAGAAAGUCGGCUCUGACCACCUUCAGAAGGAAGCUAAUGUGUCCUCUCUCCGGGUCCGGUAACAAAGAGGUCACGCAAUUUGCAAAGACGAACCCACGGUCAAGGGUUGGAGUCUAAAUGGCCCUUUCUUUGUCGCGCAACACCUGAACACACCAUGAAACAAAUGUACAUUUAGGGUGGGAAAGCACAGUUCAUACAUAACAGAUUAAAUAAAAAGAUUAAACAAAUCACAAUGGGUGGUAAAAUAAUAAAACCAUAAAAAAAAAAAAAAUACUGACAGCAUUUAUAUCUGAACUUUAGGAUCUAAGUCCGUGGUGCUGAGGUGUGUUUGUUGCUGGUCUGUUUCCACCAAAAAAAGUGUAAAAUCACAACUAAACCUAGUGCACAUGAUCAUUACCCUGUUAGGCCCACAUAUCCAGCUAGAAGUUGCUGCAUUCGUUCUAACCUAGACGUUGCAGUUGGUUACAUUGCCAUUCACAAGUUGAGAAUGUAAUGAUGUGGGUGCCUCUGGUUAACUUUUAGUUAUGAAUGGAAAUUUAGUAAAUUUUUAUUUAAGAAAGGGACAUGCUGAAUGUAGCAUGGUUAUAGGCAAUACUAAAGUGAAUUGAUUAUUUGAUUGGCCAGUUUUUUGAUUACCUAUUUUGACAUUUUUCUACAUAAAAUUUUUGUAGGAAAUAAUUGUGCCACAGACAUGUGCAUUGCAAUAAAAUCCAUAAAAAUGUA